rnacentral:rRNA from 1 species
AUGAACGCUGGCGGUGUGCCUUAGGCAUGCAAGUCGAGCGACAACUUUAGCUUCGGCUAAGGGGAAAGCGGCAGACGGGUGAGUAACGCGUAGGAACCUACCUCGUAGUGGGGAAUAGCCAGCUGAAAGGUUGGGUAAUACCGCAUAUGUUCUUUGGAACAAAGCCUUCGGGCGCUAUGAGAGGGGCCUGCGUCCUAUCAGGUAGUUGGUGGGGUAAUAGCCUACCAAGCCUAUGACGGGUAGCCGGUGUGAGAGCACGACCGGCCACAAGGUCACUGAGACACGGGGCCUACACCUACGGGUGGCAGCAACCGGGAAUAUUGCGCAAUGGGCGAAAGCCUGACGCAGCGACACCGCGUGUGGGAUGAAACCCUUCGGGGCGUAAACCACUGUGGCGAGGGAUGAAAUUUUGACAGUACCUCGCUAGAAAGCACCUGCUAGCUACGUGCCAGAAGCCUCGGUAAUACGUAGGGUGCAAGCGUUAUCCGGAUUUACUGGGCGUAAAGCGUUUCGUCGGCGUCUUGAUAAGUUUCUUGUUUAAGCCUGAGGCUCAACUUCAGACAAGCAAGAAAAACUAUCAGGAUUGAGUUUGUUCGGAGGAAUUAGAAUUCUCGGUGGAGGGGUGAAAUCCGUAGAUAUCGAGAGGAAUACCAUCCGCGAAGGCGGGUUCCUAGGACAGUACUGACGCUCAUGAACGAAAGCUUGGGUAGCAAAAGGGAUUAGAGACCCCUGUAGUCCAAGCCGUAAACGAUCCUCGCUAGUUACGCUGCAUUAGUGGCGUGACGUAAGCUAACGCGUUAAGCGGGGCGCCUGGGGAGUACGACCGCAAGGUUAAAACUCAAAGGAAUUGACGGGGGAGCGCACAACCGGUGGAGCAUGUGGUUUAAUUCGAUACAAAGCGAAAAACCUUACCUGGGUUUGAAAUGUACCUGCACGCUCUGUGAAAGCAGAGUUUCUUCGAGAGUGGUACACAGGUGAUGCAUGGCUGUCGUCAGCUCGUGUCGUGAGACGUCCGCUUAAGUGCGGUAACGAGCGCAACCCUUAUCCUCAGUUACAAGUGUCUGAGGAAACUGCCCCUGUUAUACAGGGGAGGAAGGAGAGGACGACGUCAAGUCAGCACGUCCCUUACAUCCAGGGCAACACACAUCCUACAAUGGAGCCGACAACGGGUAGCAACGGGGUAACCCUGAGCCAAUCCUUAUAAACGGCUCCUCAGUUCAGAUUGAGGGCUGCAAUUCGCCCUCAUGAAGUCGGAAUCGGUAGUAAUCGCAAAUCAGCAGGUUGCGGUGAAUACGUUCUCGCUCCUUGUCCACACUGCCCGUCAAGCCAGCAAAGUCAGCAAUGCCCGAAGCAGGUGACCUAAACUCGUAAGAGAUAGGCCCUUCUACGGCAAGGUUGGCGAUGAGGAC